rnacentral:rRNA from 1 species
UGAGCAAUCUGCCCUUCUCAUCGGAAUAAGCGUUGGAAACGACGUCUAAUGCCGAAUACGACCUCCUUUCGCGUGAUCGGAGGUGGAAAGCUCCGGCGGAGAAGGAUGAGCUCGCGGCCUAUCAGCUAGUUGGUGUGGGUAAUGGCCCACCAAGGCGACGACGGGUAGCCGGCCUGAGAGGGUGACCGGCCACACUGGGACUGAGACACGGCCCAGACUCCGUACGGGAGGNAGCG